rnacentral:misc_RNA from 1 species
AAUUACAUUUUUUGGGAGCAAAUCUUUGAUUUUUUUCGGAGGGGAGAUUGAAUUAUCGUAAAAUUUUGAGGAUUUAGAUCGUUGAUUGAUUUGGAAGAGUGCAUUCGGGGCAGAAGGGAUGCAAAUUAGGGUUUGUGAACGAUUGUUGUUAUUUGGAGCCAAAUUGCGAAUUUUGCUUUUUGGGCACUAUUAAUGGGAUCAUUAGAAACCAGUAAUCUGGAUAUUUUGGAGGCUAAAUUUCAAAGAAGAGAGCUAAUAAGGACUUGAG